GACGAACCGUGCGAACGUUGUUCGGAUUCACUGGGCUUAAAGGGCGCGUAGGCGGGUCGUUAAGUCCGGGGUGAAAGCCCCCAGCUUAACUGGGGAAGUGCCUCGGAUACUGGCGGCCUCGAGGGGGAUAGGGGCCCGCGGAACUUCGGGUGGAGCGGUGAAAUGCGUUGAUAUCCUAAGGAACGCCGGUGGCGAAAGCGGCGGGCUGGAUCCCUUCUGACGCUGAGGCGCGAAAGCGUGGGGAGCGAACAGG
rnacentral:rRNA from 1 species